UCCAACCAUACAGAAAAUGUAGCUCCAGCAACAGCAGCAGCAGCAGCUUCACUUUUGUACUGACUGUACUUAAUGGACUGUAAAAUCUAUUUCACUAUAAGUAAUUCUUACUCAAAGUAAAGAAGGCAAAAAUAAUUUAUCCACCUUUAUUGAAGAGAACACUGAAAGCCCCACCAGUUUCCAUGCAAACUGGCCACACUCUGCUCCUGUCCAAUGUGAUGCCAUCUUCUCCAUCUCAGAGGAUGAUACAUAAGCAAUUUCUGAAAGAGGGUGUGGAAGAGUUACAAAAACUCACUCAUACUUCGUUUCCAGUAUAGUAUUACUGCUGAAAAGGAGCAUUUCUUCUCCUUCCUUCAUGGAGUCCUGAAUUCGUUAUCUUGUUCUCUUCCAAUCCAGUAGCAAGCCAAGGGUCAUCCAUGCAGGUGUGGUUUGUUACCUGAAAGCAUCUGAAGACCAGAGUAAAAACUCUGGACCAGAGACACCUGGCUGAAGCAAUUAGCCUGUGGAACAAGGCACUUUCUCUAGCAGUAAUCACCUUCAGGAAAACGCAAAAGCCACCAUGAAGAGCUGUCAGUUCCACUUUGGGAGCGCAUGGCUCUGUGAUCCUGCCCUGCAUACUACAAUGAGUAUCUGGCUGCCAAAAAUAUCCUAAGCACUCAGAAUAGGAGAAGGACCAUGGAGACGCCACAUGUGUGUCUUAUAGAAGUGACUCAUCACUGACGAAAAGGAAACUGGGAAGGAGUAAUAAGAGAGAUAAGCACAGGAAGCAGCAAUGUGGCAAAGGUUUUCUUCCUCUAACUACAGGAAUUGUGCUUCCUAAUACAUGCACCUCUUUAAGCUCAAGGGAAGGAAUUGGAAUUCACAAGCAUUUCUGCAGGGAACAUCAGGCUGCAGUUUCUUGUCACCACUCUCCAGUUCAGUGUGAUAUUUGCAACUCUCUUUUCUCCCUUUGAAAUUAUCUGCAAUAACUAUAAUUAAAAAUAAUAUCUCCACCAUUUCUGGAAGAGUUGUGAGCUUUAGUCUAUCAUCUUUUCUCAACAGUUAAGUAGAUGACAGCGUUCCUUAUUCCAGAGCUUUGGAAGGUAUGCACCCAAGCUCUUCAUGUGCCAUUGCCUGAGCAGAGGCAGGCAAAGGAAGAGCCCCUGGGGAUCUAGACCACUAGUCCAUAACAGCACUACUAAGAAUCGCAGUGAGAAGCACUAUCAAACACUUCCCAACAAAUCAACACAAAUCUCCUCAAACUCCUGCAGUAAGAACAGUACAAUUGUCCAAACCACAAUGCAUCCUGACAGAGCUCUCCAGCUGAUGCAGCGGAAGUACCAAAGCUUGGCAGUGUGCACGCAGUUAUAAAGUUGCUGGCACCUUUAGUCGCACAUCGCUCAAGUUUCCUCAGCUACUGAAUGCUGAUGGACUCCUUUGUUGUACUAAAAAUACAGUGGUUACAAGAAUUUAAACAAAUAUUCUAAAUGUUUUUUGAGAGAAAAGCUCUACAAUUUUGCCAGCAAUCAGCUGCCUUGCUGCAGUGCACAGACUGCUCGCAAUAAA